AGUCACUGACAUUAGAUACCCCUGUAGUCCAGGGUGUAAACGCUGCAGACUUGGUGUUGGGGCCCUUUGGGGGCAUUCAGUGCCGGAGAGAAGUUGUUAAGUCUGCUACUUGGGAGUACGUCCGCAAGGAUGAAACUUAAAGGAAUUGGCGGGGGAGCACCGCAACGGGAGGAGCGUGCGGUUUAAUUGGAUUCAACACCGUAAAACUCACCAGGGAAGACUGUUACAUGAAGGCCGAGAUGAAGACUCUGCUAGAUUUUCAG
rnacentral:rRNA from 1 species